rnacentral:rRNA from 1 species
GACGAACGCUGGCGGCGUGCUUAACACAUGCAAGUCGAACGGAAAGGCCCUGCUUUUGUGGGGUGCUCGAGUGGCGAACGGGUGAGUAACACGUGAGUAACCUGCCCUUGACUUUGGGAUAACUUCAGGAAACUGGGGCUAAUACCGGAUAGGAGCUCCUGCUGCAUGGUGGGGGUUGGAAAGUUUCGGCGGUUGGGGAUGGACUCGCGGCUUAUCAGCUUGUUGGUGGGGUAGUGGCUUACCAAGGCUUUGACGGGUAGCCGGCCUGAGAGGGUGACCGGCCACAUUGGGACUGAGAUACGGCCCAGACUCCUACGGGAGGCAGCAGUGGGGAAUAUUGCACAAUGGGCGGAAGCCUGAUGCAGCAACGCCGCGUGCGGGAUGACGGCCUUCGGGUUGUAAACCGCUUUCGCCUGUGACGAAGCGUGAGUGACGGUAAUGGGUAAAGAAGCACCGGCUAACUACGUGCCAGCAGCCGCGGUGAUACGUAGGGUGCGAGCGUUGUCCGGAUUUAUUGGGCGUAAAGGGCUCGUAGGUGGUUGAUCGCGUCGGAAGUGUAAUCUUGGGGCUUAACCCUGAGCGUGCUUUCGAUACGGGUUGACUUGAGGAAGGUAGGGGAGAAUGGAAUUCCUGGUGGAGCGGUGGAAUGCGCAGAUAUCAGGAGGAACACCAGUGGCGAAGGCGGUUCUCUGGGCCUUUCCUGACGCUGAGGAGCGAAAGCGUGGGGAGCGAACAGGCUUAGAUACCCUGGUAGUCCACGCUGUAAACGGUGGGUACUAGGUGUGGGGUCCAUUCCACGGGUUCCGUGCCGUAGCUAACGCUUUAAGUACCCCGCCUGGGGAGUACGGCCGCAAGGCUAAAACUCAAAGGAAUUGACGGGGCCCCGCACAAGCGGCGGAGCAUGCGGAUUAAUUCGAUGCAACGCGUAGAACCUUACCUGGGUUUGACAUGGAUCGGGAGUGCUCAGAGAUGGGUGUGCCUCUUUUGGGGUCGGUUCACAGGUGGUGCAUGCCUGUCGUCAGCUCGUGUCGUGAGAUGUUGGGUUAAGUCCCGCAACGAGCGCAACCCUUGUUCACUGUUGCCAGCACGUUAUGGUGGGGACUCAGUGGAGACCGCCGGGGCCAACUCGGAGGAAGGUGGGGAUGACGUCAAGCCCUCAUGCCCCUUAUGUCCAGGGCUUCACGCAUGCUACAAUGGCUGGUACAGAGAGUGGCGAGCCUGUGAGGGUGAGCGAAUCUCGGAAAGCCGGUCUCAGUUCGGAUUGGGGUCUGCAACUCGACCUCAUGAAGUCGGAGUCGCUAGUAAUCGCAGAUCAGCAACGCUGCGGUGAAUACGUUCCCGGGGCU